rnacentral:rRNA from 1 species
AUUGAACGCUGGCGGCAGGCCUAACACAUGCAAGUCGAGCGGGGUUUUCGGACCUAGCGGCGGACGGGUGAGUAAUGCGUAGGAAGCUGCCCGACAGAGGGGGAUACCAGUUGGAAACGACUGUUAAUACCGCAUAAUGUCUACGGACCAAAGUGUGGGACCUUCGGGCCACAUGCCAUCGGAUGCGCCUACGUGGGAUUAGCCAGUUGGUGAGGUAAUGGCUCACCAAGGGGACGAUCUCUAGCUGGUUUGAGAGGAUGAUCAGCCAAACUGGAACUGAGACACGGUCCAGACUCCUACGGGAGGCAGCAGUGGGGAAUAUUGGACAAUGGGCGCAAGCCUGAUCCAGCCAUGCCGCGUGUGUGAAGAAGGCCUUCGGGUUGUAAAGCACUUUCAGCGAGGAGGAAGGGUGGUGUGUUAAUAGCACACCAUUUUGACGUUACUCGCAGAAGAAGCACCGGCUAACUCUGUGCCAGCCGCCGCAGUAAUAC